GGCCCUACGGGGUGCAGCAGGCGAGAAACCUUUGCAAUGUGCGAAAGCACGACAAGGUUAAUCCGAGUGUCUUCUGCUAAAGAAGUCUUUGUUAGUCAUAGAACCACUGAUGAAUAA
rnacentral:rRNA from 1 species